CCUGGCAGGGAAUUAGGGGGAAGUUUGAGCAGGGCAGCACAGAGUUUCCAUUUGGAAGUUUUAGAAAGAUGGGAUGCAAGGAAGCCAGGAUGAUGGGUGAGGACCUAGGAGAGGAGGAAUGUUGCCACCCAGAGAAUGUGGAGAAAGAGAUGGAUGACUCAGCUCCAAGGAUGCCAGCAUCUGACCGUGGUGCUUCUGUCCUACGACUCAUCUACCAGCAAAGCCCUCACUGUGCCUAGGCUCCGAGCUGAGCGGCUGAGUGUGAAUUCUCCGAGAUGUCCCGACCCCAGAGGACAGAGCUCCCGUGAUCAGGAGGAGAAAGCUGGGGCCCUGUCGGGGCUGACUCUGGUGCCAAGCUACCAGGGAUAUCGCCAAGGCUGAAGGCUGCAGAGGGGCUAAAAGUGACAGCGUGGCUUCACCUGGCCUGAUUCCACCGUGAAACUUUGACCCUCCCGUCUUGGCAACAGACGCAAGGGCCAGAAGCAGCUCCUCUCAUGCGUGAACAGCUGCCCUUGGAGUGCGCUGACCUGCGUUCUUCCCAGCCUCUUGAGGACCCUACCUCUUCUAAGAGCCACAGGCC